rnacentral:lncRNA from 1 species
CACCCGAUACCAAUGCUAAUGCAUGUGAUGGCGAUAGUCCUUGAAAUACAAUGAUAACUAAAUGUCGAUGGCUCACCUCACACGAUCCUCCUCAAAAUCAGUGAUGUCAAAUACAUCCUGCCAAUAAUAAAUAUUAAAAAAAUACUAUGCAAAUUAAAUAUUCAUAAUAUAAUUUAUUUUACUUAUAAGUGGGUGUAGAAAAUCUUUCUCUAAGCCAGUAGAAUGUGAUGCCAAUCAAAAAACGUCACGGGGGCAUAACUAUAGUAUAUGAUACCC